rnacentral:rRNA from 1 species
UACAGAGGUCUCAAGCGUUGUUCGGAUUCAUUGGGCGUAAAGGGCGCGUAGGCGGCGGGGCAAGUCGGGUGUGAAAUCUCAGGGCUCAACCCUGAAACUGCACUCGAUACUGCUCUGCUUGAGGACUGGAGAGGAGACUGGAAUUCAUGGUGUAGCAGUGAAAUGCGUAGAGAUCAUGAGGAAGACCAGUGGCGAAGGCGGGUCUCUGGACAGUUCCUGACACUGAGACGCGAAAGCGUGGGGAGCAAACAGG